rnacentral:piRNA from 1 species
UAGUCCUGGGACACAGAGUUAGGUCUGUGC